GCACCCUUAGCUCAACGGAUUAGAGCAUCUGACUACGGAUCAGAAGGUUUCAGGUUCGAAUCCUGAAGGGUGCGCCA
rnacentral:tRNA from 1 species